rnacentral:rRNA from 1 species
AUGAGACGCCUGUCAAAAGCCUACCAGCGCGAGAUGGACCACGCGGUGGGCGGCACACCGGCUCCAGCUAGGCCUAACUGCCUUGGCACGGUCCAGCAGCGCGACACACCCAAGUACACCGGCUCCGAGAAGCCGGAGGACUGGCUGGUCGACUACUCCACGGCCGUCAGCAUAGCAAACGGCAACAAGCGUGUUGCUGUGAAGUACGUCCCACUCAUGCUCCAGGGCACGGCCCAGACGUGGCUGAGCAGCUUAAGGCCCCGCAGCAUCAACAGCUGGGUCGACUUCACCGACGCCUUCGUCCGCAACUUCACUAGCACGUACAAGCGACCUCCCAAACCCCGCCAGCUCUCCUUGUGCGUGCAAGGCCCCAGCGAGUCAACUCGUGACUACCUCACGCGCUGGGCCGAGCUCCGCAACUCUUGCGAGGGCAUGCACGAGGUGCAGGCUAUUGAGUACUUCACUGCAGGAUGCUGA